rnacentral:rRNA from 1 species
UAAGGAAUAUUGGGCAAUGGGCGGAAGCCUGACCCAGCCAUCCCGCGUGCAGGAAGAAUGCCCUAUGGGUUGUAAACUGCUUUUGCUUGAGAAGAAAAAGGGCCAUUUAUGGUUUUCUGACGGUAUCUUGCGAAUAAGCACCGGCUAACUCCGUGCCAGCAGCCGCGGUAAUACGGAGGGUGCAAGCGUUAUCCGGAAUCACUGGGUUUAAAGGGUGCGUAGGCGGCACAAUAAGUCAGAGGUGAAAGACUGCGGCUCAACCGUAGUAUUGCCUUUGAUACUGUAGUGCUUGAAUGAGGAUGAGGCAGGCAGAAUGUGGCAUGUAGCGGUGAAAUGCAUAGAUAUGCCAUAGAAUACCGAUUGCGAAGGCAGCCUGCUGGACCUGAAUUGACGCUGAGGC